GCGGCAACACCUCCAUCUACAAUGAGAAAUAGCCAUCCCCAAAACAGAAGAAAAACAAGAUAAGUGAUGUCAAAUGGAAAAACUGGAGUACAAAGAAGAGGAUAAAAAGUAUGUACUGACCAAUGACCAUGCAUAAACUAUAAGCUAUGUUAACAAGUAUUAGAUGCACAUCAGGUAUUUAUUCUUUAAGCUAGAUUAUGCAUGAGUUUUUACUUGUAAGUAUGAUGCAUAGCUUUAUGCAAGGAACUUUCUUAACAAAUUCUGAACUUCUCUUAUAAAUUUUACAUAUGAUAACGUAUUUAAGCAUAUCUUACUACAAAGUUUAAAAAAGCCUGUCUAGACAAACCGAAUGAUCAUGCAUAUGUGCUAGACACAAGAGCAAGUUUCACUCAGAGUAAUUAUUUGCAACGAACAGAUGUUUCAGAAAAGUUAUGCACACAGUGGCCAGUGGAUAACUGAAUGCGGGGUUACAAGUGUCAAUUGGAAUAGAUGCAAUCAGUACUGGAUGUAAUGUUCACAGGACAGAUGCAUGUCAAAAUUUAAUCCACAACCAACUACAGAUUCCUCUUUUAAGUCAACUACCGCCGGUCAGGUGAUUGAGCGAGCCACAUGAUUUGGUCAAGAAACCGAUAGUACCCUGAAACAUAAUCUAUAGUGCUGGUCAAUCACCAAUGAAACACGAGGCCAAGCCGGUUCAUGCCAUAGAGUUGACCGUAGGUACAAACACAUCUUUUGAUCAGUUGGAAAACUGUACGGUUAGGUACGUGGUUGCUGUAGAAAUUUAAUCAGCACGUUAUUCGUGCUGCAGAAGUCGUUGGUCUGAAAUCCUAACCCUGAAUUAAUUGGCACGUAGUCAUCAUCAACUAAUCUACUAAGUACAUAAAUGUUCUACAUAUUAUACAACUAAUGCAGUUCUGGUGCAAUAUGUUCUACACAUGAAUGUUCUACAUAUUAGUUGUAUUAUAUUAGUAGUAAAAUAAUAAAAGGUAAUUAUACAGCAGGAAAACAAUAAUUCCAAGAAUUUAACUUUUACAUGAUUAUCUAUGAUGGUUACUUAUUUAUUUUGCAAGGAACCACAACAUAUUUCUGCAGAAAAAGAACAUGUGUUCAAACCAAUCACCAAACAAAUAAUGAGCUGGUUCAUCUUAUACCACAAUAAAAAGAACACCGACAAGGAAUAGAAGUGUUCCUUGGUUUCUAAGCACACCACUUCAUAGACAUGAUUAUGAGAUGGAAAAGACAAACAUACCAACAAGGGUUAAUCAUAUAAAGCCAACCAUCCUACUUAUCAAGAGAAAUCCUAAAAAAUACUAGAUAACAUUACUAAAUCUUUGUAAACAUGGAGAUACAUGCUGAUGGCUAGGUUGUACCACAUUAGCAAAGCUGUUUCGCAUUCUGUCAUAAGGUAAGCUAUAUACUAUCGAACAGAAGGCGUGCCCCAAAGCCUAAUUUGAUAUUGAAGACUCUUUUCAAGAUUUUUUCGACAAGAAACUGGUUUUAUUUAGCGACUUGCCGACUUACUGAAUAAUUGCCCAAGGGAAAACAUUAUAUGUUGUAUUUUAAUGAUGGCCUUAUUUCUAGAUGAUGAAAGAACUACUCCCUCCGUUUCAAAACAAGUGUCAUUGCCGUCGACGACACUUGUCUUGGAACAGGGGGAGUAUAUGGAACCUGGGAGACAAAAGGGCGAGGUAAAAGCACAAACCUUGUCGUUUCCAUUGAUCUGUUUGUGGAAUCGAUUUAUCUUUGUUAGCUACGGGAGCACAAGAGAGCCGAUAAUCAGGCUUUACUAAAUGUAUGUAAAACAGGAACCAGCAGAGGGGUUGCAGGCGUGCGUUUCACAACAACAAUAAAAUAUGUUUGAUAAAGCAGCAAACUUUUCAGUGACCACAAGGCACAAGCCAUGGAAUCUGAACCCAACUUUUACACAACUCGUAAAAGCCUAAACACUUGUACUCAUAGAAUAUGAGAUAAACGAAUCAGGGUACAGAUACUUGACCUAUAUCCUAGUACAAUGAACCUACCCUGCCAAGAUGCAUCUCGUUGAGUAAAUUGUCAAAAACUAUCACAUUUGGCGCAACCGUGUCCAGGAGCUACCACAAUACGAUUUUGUCCCAAAAACUAUCAAUUUUUUUCUAAUCCGUGGUAAAAAAAACUACCAAAAGUUUUAACUGCCUGUUUUAGCUCGUUUAACCGUUUUCCUGGCAAGGCGGGCCCACAUGUCAGGUGCCCCCGUAAUCUAGGUCCUGAUGCUGGCGGUGGUCCUCACCUUCUGCGCGAGGUCCUGAGGCCAGACCAGAGCCGCCGGUGCAGGAAGUUCCGCUCCAGCCGGUUGCCCUCUCGUUCUUGGACUUGCAUCGCUCGUUCCUGUGGAGGAGGAGCGGUUCUCCAGAUCUUGCCGGCCUGGCCGCGCUCCGGGGAAGCCAGAUGCAGAAUUGACCUCCGGGGCUUCUGGUGCUGCCUCUCGCCGGCCGCGCUGCACAGGCAGCAACGCAACAUCUCUUCGGCGCCCUCGCCCGUGGCUGGCCGCGCACCGUAUCGGCCGUGCGCAGCGCCCGCUCGCCCUGUGGCCGUCGCCCGUGCCGCGCCCCGCACGAGGCCGUGGCACCGCCCGCCCGCGCCGUGCCUGGGACAACAAGUACGCCGGUGUCCAGGUGCUGCUCUCCAAGGUUCUCCUCGCCGGCGGCGGCGACGGCGACUACGCCGACACGCUCAAGCAGUUCCGGUCCAAGGCCGAGUUCUUCAUGUACGCAUGCAUCCAAAAGAACGGCCACAACAACAGGUCCAGGUGGACUACGUCCUGGGCAAGAACCCGAUGUCCAUGAGGACGCCUGAGCUCGACGGAGUCGCACGGCCUGGAGAUCAUGAAGCUGCAAACCGGGGGAGGACGGACGCCUGAGGCGCCGGGUCGUAGCUCACCAGCACGGCCGAGCCCGGCGGCGCGACGGCAAGGCGGCCUUCGAGCUCUCCGUGCUCUGUGACGAGACGCACAUAACCUAUUCGAUGUAAUGCACAUGAGGGUGAAGAGAGGUGGAAGAAAGGUCUGACGUGUGGGUCCUAUCUGUAAUAACGGUUAAAGUUAAUGUUCAACCUGACUUGUGGGCCCAACAUGUCAGAAAGGUGUUUAGAAGAGGUUAAUGGAGCAGUUUUCACACUUGGUAGUUUUUAGCAACGGAUUAGGAAAAUUUUGGUAGUUUUCCGCACAAAAUCGUAAAGUGGUAGCUCCGGAACAUGGUUGCGCAAAAUGUGGUAGUUUUUGGCAAUUUACUCC
rnacentral:lncRNA from 1 species